CGGCGAACGGGUGAGUAACACGUGAGCAACCUGUCCCGAAGACCGGGAUAACACCGGGAAACCGGUGCUAAUACCGGAUGUCCCCACCAGAUCACAUGGUUCGGUGAGGAAAUGGAUUCCGCUUCGGGAGGGGCUCGCGGGCUAUCAGCUUGUUGGUGGGGUAACGGCCCACCAAGGCUACGACGGCUAGCUGGUCUGAGAGGACGACCAGCCACACUGGGACUGAGACACGGCCCAG
rnacentral:rRNA from 1 species